UACGGAGGGUGCAAGCGUUAUCCGGAUUCACUGGGUUUAAAGGGUGCGUAGGUGGGUAGGUAAGUCAGUGGUGAAAUCUCCGGGCUUAACCCGGAAACUGCCAUUGAUACUAUUUAUCUUGAAUACUUUGGAGGUAAGCGGAAUAUGUCAUGUAGCGGUGAAAUGCUUAGAUAUGACAUAGAACACCAAUUGCGAAGGCAGCUUACUACACAGUAAUUGACACUGAGGCACGAAAGCGUGGGGAUCAAACAGG
rnacentral:rRNA from 1 species